AAAAAAAAAAGAAAAAAAAAGUAAAAAUCAUAUCAAGUAUCUUUCCUAACUACAAUGGAAUAAAACUAGAAAUCAAGAAGAAAAGAAAUGUUAGAAACUUCACAAACACAUGGAAACUAUGCAACAUGCUCCUGAGUGACCAAAGGGUCAAUGAAGAAAUUAGGAAGAAAAAUUUAAAAUUUCUUGGACAAAUGAACAGGGAAAUACAACAUACCAAAAUCUAUUGAACACAGAAAAAGCAGUACUAAGAGGGAAGUUUUUAGCAAUAAACACCUUCACCAAAAAAGCAGAAAGACAUUCUCUAACAUCUGGAGCCAGACAAAGAUCCCCACUUUCACCACUUUUAUUCAGUAUAAUUCUGGAAGUCCUGGCUAGAGCAAUUAGCUGAGAGAAAAAAUAAAGGGCAUCUGAACUAGAAAGGAAGAAGUCAAGUUAGACUUGUUGGCAGACAAUGUGAUCUUAUAUUUAGAAAAUCCUAAAAACUCUACCAAAAAACUCUUUGAACUGACAAAUUCAGUAAAGUUCCAGGAUACAAAAUCAACAUACAAAAAUCAGUAGCAUUUAUAUACAUCAACAGCAAACAAUCUGAAAAAGAAAUCAAAAAGCAUUUUUUUAUUUACAAUUUGUCCCCAUUUACAAUAGCUACAAAGAAUAUAAAAUACAUAGGAACCAAUUUAACCAAAGAAGUAAAAGAUCGAUACAAGGAAAACUAUAAAACACUGAUGAAAAAAAUUGAAGAGGACACCAAAAUAUGGAAAGAUAGUCCAUGCUCAUGGACUGGAAGAACUGGUAUUGUUAAAAAGACAAUACUACUGGCCGGGUGUGGUUGCUCACGCCUGUA
rnacentral:lncRNA from 1 species